CCUACGGGUGGCAGCAGUGGGGGAUAUUGCACAAUGGUGGGAACACUGAUGCAGCGACGCCGCGUGGGUGAAGGAGUAUUUCGGUAUGGAAAGCCCUAUCUGCCGGGAAGAAUUUAGACGGUACCUUACUAAGAAGCCCCGGCUAACUACGUACCAGGAGCCUCGGUAAUACGUAGGGGGCAAGCGUUAUCCGGAUUCACUGGGGGUAAAGGGGUGUUCGACGGCCAGUGAAGGCUGGGGGGAAAUCGCGGGUCCAAACCCCGGGACUGCUCUUGGAACUGUCCGGCUGGAGUGGGGGGGGAGCAGGCGGAAUGCGCGGUGUAGCGGUGAAAUGCGUAGAUAUCAGGCGGAACACCGGCGGCGAAGGCGGCAUGCUGGACCGCGACUGACGUUGAGGCUCGAAAGCGUGGGGAGCGAACAGGAUUAGAUACCCCUGUAGUC
rnacentral:rRNA from 1 species